CCCAACGGUUAUACUGAGGAGGCCACACCCGUUCCCAUUCCGAAUACGGAAGUUAAGCUCCUUAAGGUCGAUGGUACUGAUCUCGCAAGGGAUUGGGAGAGUAGAACGUCGUUGGGU
rnacentral:rRNA from 1 species